rnacentral:rRNA from 1 species
AGGGUGAUCGGCCACAUUGGAACUGAGACACGGUCCAAACUCCUACGGGAGGCAGCAGUGGGGAAUAUUGCACAAUGGGCGAAAGCCUGAUGCAGCAACGCCGCGUGAGUGAUGAAGGCCUUCGGGUCGUAAAACUCUGUCCUCAAGGAAGAUAAUGACGGUACUUGAGGAGGAAGCCCCGGCUAACUACGUGCCAGCAGCCGCGGUAAUACGUAGGGGGCUAGCGUUAUCCGGAUUUACUGGGCGUAAAGGGUGCGUAGGCGGUCUUUCAAGUCAGGAGUGAAAGGCUACGGCUCAACCGUAGUAAGCUCUUGAAACUGGGAGACUUGAGUGCAGGAGAGGAGAGUGGAAUUCCUAGUGUAGCGGUGAAAUGCGUAGAUAUUAGGAGGAACACCAGUUGCGAAGGCGGCUCUCUGGACUGUAACUGACGCUGAGGCACGAAAGCGUGGGGAGCAAACAG